rnacentral:rRNA from 1 species
ACGAACGCUGGCGGCACGCUUAACACAUGCAAGUCGAACGAGAGAAGAGGAGCUUGCUUUUCUGAUCUAGUGGCGGACGGGUGAGUAACACGUGAGCAAUCUGCCUUUCAGAGGGGGAUACCGAUUGGAAACGAUCGUUAAUACCGCAUAACAUAAUUGAACCGCAUGAUUUGAUUAUCAAAGAUUUAUCGCUGAAAGAUGAGCUCGCGUCUGAUUAGCUAGUUGGUAAGGUAACGGCUUACCAAGGCGACGAUCAGUAGCCGGACUGAGAGGUUGAUCGGCCACAUUGGGACUGAGACACGGCCCAGACUCCUACGGGAGGCAGCAGUGGGGAAUAUUGCACAAUGGAGGAAACUCUGAUGCAGCGAUGCCGCGUGAGGGAAGAAGGUUUUAGGAUUGUAAACCUCUGUCUUCAGGGACGAAAAAAGACGGUACCUGAGGAGGAAGCUCCGGCUAACUACGUGCCAGCAGCCGCGGUAAUACGUAGGGAGCGAGCGUUGUCCGGAAUUACUGGGUGUAAAGGGAGCGUAGGCGGGAUCGCAAGUCAGAUGUGAAAACUAUGGGCUUAACCCAUAAACUGCAUUUGAAACUGUGGUUCUUGAGUGAAGUAGAGGUAAGCGGAAUUCCUAGUGUAGCGGUGAAAUGCGUAGAUAUUAGGAGGAACACCAGUGGCGAAGGCGGCUCACUGGACUGUAACUGACACUGAGGCUCGAAAGCGUGGGGAGCAAACAGGAUUAGAUACCCUGGUAGUCCACGCCGUAAACGAUGAUUACUAGGUGUGGAGGGACUGACCCCUUCCGUGCCGCAGCAAACGCAAUAAGUAAUCCACCUGGGGAGUACGACCGCAAGGUUGAAACUCAAAGGAAUUGACGGGGGCCCGCACAAGCAGUGGAGUAUGUGGAUUAAUUCGAAGCAACGCGAAGAACCUUACCAGGUCUUGACAUCGUAUGCAUAGCUCAGAGAUGAGUGAAAUCUCUUCGGAGACAUAUAGACAGGUGGUGCAUGGUUGUCGUCAGCUCGUGUCGUGAGAUGUUGGGUUAAGUCCCGCAACGAGCGCAACCCUUACUGUUAGUUGCUACGCAAGAGCACUCUAGCAGGACUGCCGUUGACAAAACGGAGGAAGGUGGGGAUGACGUCAAAUCAUCAUGCCCCUUAUGACCUGGGCCUCACACGUACUACAAUGGCUGUCAACAGAGGGAUGCAAAGCCGCGAGGUGGAGCGAACCCCUAAAAGCAGUCUUAGUUCGGAUUGUAGGCUGCAACCCGCCUACAUGAAGUCGGAAUUGCUAGUAAUCGCAGAUCAGCAUGCUGCGGUGAAUACGUUCCCGGGCCUUGUACACACCGCCCGUCACGCCAUGGGAGUCGGUAACACCCGAAGCCUGUAGUCUAACCGCAAGGAGGACGCAGUCGAAGGUGGGAUUGAUGACUGGGGUG